rnacentral:rRNA from 1 species
GACCGUGCAAAGGUAGCAUAAUCAUUUGCCUUAUAAUUGAAGGCUUGUAUGAAUGGUUUGACAAGAGUGAUGCUGUCUCUUUAUAAUUAAUUAAAAUUUUAUUUACAGGUGAAAAAGCCUGUAUUUUAUUGAAAGACAAGAAGACCCUAUCGAGCUUAAAAUAAAUUGAUAAACCUAAACUAAUAUUUAGUUAUAAAGUUUGUUAUUAAACACGUUAGUUGGGGCGACUAAGGAACAAAAAAAGCUUCUUUUUAUCUUUUAAACAGACAAGUAGUGAUCCAGAAUUUUUUGAUUAAAGAAAUUAGUUACCGUAGGGAUAACAGCAUUAUCUUUUUUGAGAGCUCUAAUCGAAAAAAAGGUUUGUGACCUCGAUGUUGGACCAGAAUAUCCUAAAGAUGCAGUCGUCUUUAAGGGUUGGUCUGUUCGACCAUUAAAAUUCUACGUGAUCUGAGUUCAGACCGGCGUGAGCCAGGUCAGUUUCUAUCUUCAAUUUUUGAAAUAGACUUAGUACGAAAGGACCAGCCUACUACAAAAUUUUGUUUUUUUUGAUAAAAUAUAAAGAAUCAUUAAAUUAAUAACUUUAGUAUUAAAUCAAAUUAGCAAAACUUAAUGCAAUUGACUUAGGAUCAAUAGAUAUAGGUGAAAUUCCUUUAUUUGAUAUAUAAAAGUGGCAGAUGAA